rnacentral:piRNA from 1 species
GCUAGAAGGCUUAGCUUCCGGUCAGCUGU